CAAACUAGGUGGGCGGGGCGAGGAAUCGAACAUCCCCACCCCGACCCAACCCCGGGGGGAUACUGCGUACUCGGGACCUAAGACUACCUGGAGAGAAGGGGAAGGCAGAGGCCCGCCACUGCAGCUCCCACUGGUGAAUGUUUGGCAGCCUGAAGCCUCAACAUGGCAGCACCUGUAACCCCAGCCACUACCCAGGCUGAGCAAGUAAGCUAGGGAGACUCCGUUAUAGAAAAAAAGGGAGAGGGCAUAGUGGGAGGGGGACACCAGAACCCACAUAGCCAACUAUUUGGCUCAAAUGUCAGCCUGGGUAGCUUGAAAAACAUGAGUGUGCACAUGUCGAAAAUCCUGACAGAAUGGAGAAAUUGGAAAAAGGAUGGGAGCAUGACUGAGACAUAGAAAGAUGCUUUCUCCUUUUCUCUUGAAUUGUAAUGAACAGACUUUACUCCUACUAUAACCAAAAGCAAAAACAAAAAUGUACCAACGGGUGGCACAAUGGUGAAGACAGCUGGAUCCCACCUGGCUGAC